GAUGAACGCUGGCGGCGUGCCUAAUACAUGCAAGUCGAGCGAACAGACGAGGAGCUUGCUCCUCUGACGUUAGCGGCGGACGGGUGAGUAACACGUGGAUAACCUACCUAUAAGACUGGGAUAACUUCGGGAAACCGGAGCUAAUACCGGAUAAUAUAUUGAACCGCAUGGUUCAAUAGUGAAAGACGGUUUUGCUGUCACUUAUAGAUGGAUCCGCGCCGCAUUAGCUAGUUGGUAAGGUAACGGCUUACCAAGGCAACGAUGCGUAGCCUACCUGAGAGGGUGAUCGGCCACACUGGAACUGAGACACGGUCCAGACUCCUACGGGAGGCAGCAGUAGGGAAUCUUCCGCAAUGGGCGAAAGCCUGACGGAGCAACGCCGCGUGAGUGAUGAAGGUCUUCGGAUCGUAAAACUCUGUUAUUAGGGAAGAACAAAUGUGUAAGUAACUAAGCACGUCUUGACGGUACCUAAACAGAAAGCCACGGCUAACUACGUGC
rnacentral:rRNA from 1 species